UACAGAGGUCUCAAGCGUUGUUCGGAAUCACUGGGCGUAAAGGGUGCGUAGGCCGCACGGUAAGUCAGAUGUGAAAUCUCAGGGCUCAACUCUGAAAUUGCAUCCGAUACUGCCGUGCUUGAGACUGGAGAGGAGUCGUGGAAUUCAUGGUGGAGCAGUGAAAUGCGUAGAUAUCAUGAGGAACGCUAGUGGCGUAGGCGAGACUCUGGACAGUUCCUGACGGCUGAGGCACGAAGGCCAGGGGAGCGAACAGG
rnacentral:rRNA from 1 species